rnacentral:lncRNA from 1 species
AGCAGUUUUAUCUAAUUCUGUGAAGAAAGUCAGUGGUAGCUUGAUGGGGAUAGCAUUGAAUCUAUAAAUUACUUGGGGCAGUAUGGCCAUUUUCACGAUACCGAUUCUUCCUAUCCAUGGGCAUGGAAUGUUUUUCCGUUUGUUUGUGUCCUUUUUUAUUUCAUUGAGCAGUGGUUUGUAGUUCUCCUUGCCACAGGCUGGAAGGGUCUGCAGUGCAAUGAAGGUAUGCACCAAUCACACCCUUGGACAGAAAAUGUUCUAGCAGGUAUAUAAAGGAGAUCCAGUUUGCUGUAAAUCACAACAUCGGAUAUACC